CACUGUUAAUCAAGAAGUGCAUCAAACACUGAGGGAGGACUCUUGUUUUUAGGACGUGGUUGGGGUUUGGUUGGUGUGGUUAAAUUCUCUUUACAGGAUAGUUGCUGUUUUAUUUUCCCAGUUUAGAGGGAAAUCCUUUAUCCUAAGGGGGAAAGGAAGAGUCAUUAAGAACAAGGCAAAUUGAAUAUUUUUCCUGCAGGUCCUUGGUGAUCCACUGUGUGCAGUUCUCAAAUAUGAACUUCCACAGGUUGUUCUCUUCCAGAUUAACUCCAUCUGCAGCUGCUGCAGGAACACACCUGAGCUGCCUCAGUACAGACAAGAGUCAGAUGUGCUGCCUGUUGGUGACCCUGGCCUGCAUCAGGAAGAGCUGCAUCCUAAUUCCAUGUGGAUCAGAGAGGGUGGCAUUCCUGGAGGUGAGUUCCUGCCUGUUUUCCCCUCUCUGUAUCUGAGAAUGAGCCGUUUCAUUUAUGAAGUGUAAAUCUAAACCGGUCCAUCAAAAUCUCUUCGUGGUUCUUUGGUUUUAAUAAAACCUGUUUGGUACUACUGGGUUUGGAUAAUUGUCACUGCAUCUUCAAGGGAAAAAAAACCAAACCACCAACAGAAAGAAAGAAUAAAACCCAGAUUGUUCCCUG